CAGUUAAAAAGCUCGUAGUUGAACUUUGGAACGGGGGGAGGGGUUUUUUCGAUCCGGAGGACAAGGAAAAGGGUUUCCCCCUUUUCCCCCUUCGGGCGCCCUCCCUCGUGCGGCGCCGGUCCGCCCCGAAGGGGCGAGCACUGGCCCGCGCGUUCCCUCCUACCGGACGCUCGCUCCUGCUCUUCGUUGAGUGGGAGUAUUCCUCCGAGGAGCUUCCCUUUCGAGACCUCGGUUUCGAAACAGGCUCGGGGGUUUCGGCCUCCCUCGCUCGGGGAUUUGCGAGGGCCGAGGGAGUUUCUAAACGCUCCUCCUUUUCGGAGGGGGGGUUUUUUUUUUCUCCGUUUCUUCGGUUCUCGUAGAGCUCCGGUUCGUUUACCUUGAAUAAAUUAGAGUGUUCAAAGCGGGCAAGCGCACGCCUAGAUAUUUUAGCAUGGGAUAAUAGAAUAGGACUUGGGUUCUAUUUUCGUUGGUUCAUUAGGACCGAAGUAAUGAUUGAUAGGGACGGUGGGGGGCAUUAUUAUUUAAUUGUCAGAGGUGAAAUUCUCGGAUUUAGGAAAGACUGACUUCAGCGAAAGCAUUUGCCAAGGACGUUUUCAUUAAUCAAGAACGAAAGUUAGGGGAUCGAAGACGAUCACAUACCGUCGUAGUCUUAACCAUAAACGAUGCCGACCAGGGAUCGGGAUACGUUACCUCGACGACUCUCCCGGCACCUUGCGGGAAACCACAAGUCUUUGGGUUCCGGGGGGAGUAUGGUCGCAAGGCUGAAACUUAAAGGAAUUGACGGAAGGGCACCACCAGGAGUGCAGCCUGCGGCUUAAUUUGACUCAACACGGGGAAACUUACCAGGUCCGGACAUAGGAAGGAUUGACAGA
rnacentral:rRNA from 1 species